AAACAAGGCAGUGUGGCGCUGAGUGCUGAGCAGUGACAAGCAUGAAACAGUGCUGAGACAGAAGUAGUGAUGUGAAUACAGCCCUUCAUCUUGAGAAUUCCUCUAUGUGAUGUGUGGCACCAGGGCCACUCUGACACAUCAGCAGAUGGAGGUGACUUGUAAAGGAAAAGUGAGAUUCCGCAAGCACAUAAAAGACAAAGGCAGAGCCGGGGGAAGAAACAAGGAGAAAAGGGUGGACAGGACUGGAAAUUGGGAAGCAGGCCCUGCCUAGCAGUGUCCCCAGUCUGGAUGCCAACCUGCCUGGGAAAGCACAAGGAAGAGCCACCUGCUCUGGGCACACCAGGGGAGAGCAGAGGCUGCUCCAUCCCAGCGGCAACACCAAAAAGAUCCAAGCAUGAAAACCUGGACUCAGUCUGUUCUGGUAUUUACUGGAACCACAAAUGCUUGAGCCACAUGGAUCCCUGCCUACAGAACUAGAUAAAGUUAUGAAAGGUCCAUGAGCCAAGUCUCUCCAAGUUUUUUCCCACUCUGCAAAUGCCAAACAAGCUGAGGAGGCAGAGGAAGACAUUGAGAAAGCUAAAGCAAAGAAUAAACUUACUGCUAAUGCUGUAUCAUUUUCUCCAGAAAAAUGAUAUGCCAGACUUAAGCAAUAGACUGCUUCUCCAUGCAUCUUUAUAUCACCUCCUAUAGGAAAGGUAAAAGGUAGAGUUACCAGCAUGAUCUGAACAAAAUUACAUUGGUACAGACAGCUCUUGCAGGUUCUUAAACAAGAUACAGAUGUCAAAAUACUGUAGUAAUUUUUUUCCUUUCCUUACCCCCCCCAUGUAUCUCUUUCUGAAAACAUACAGUAGUAAUUAAAAAUAAAGGCAAUGGAGUUCACCAAGGAAGUUAAGCAAAGUCAGAGAAAAUAUCUUCCAGUAAUAAAGUACAAUCAAACUAACAUGUG